rnacentral:rRNA from 1 species
GACGAACGCUGGCGGCGUGCUUAACACAUGCAAGUCGAACGGUGAAGGGGAGCUUGCUCCCCGGAUCAGUGGCGAACGGGUGAGUAACACGUGGGCAACCUGCCCCAGACUUCGGGAUAACGCUUCGAACGGAGUGCUAAUACCGGAUACGAACUCCUUGGGCAUCCCUGGGGUUGGAAAGUUUUUCGGUCUGGGAUGGGCCCGCGGGCUAUCAGCCUGCUGGUGAGGUAACGGCUCACCAAGGCGACGACGGGUAGCCGGCCUGAGAGGGCGACCCGCCACACUGGGACUGAGACACGGCCCAGACUCCUACGGGAGGGAGCAGUGGUGAAUAUUGCACAAUGGGGGAAUCCUUGAUGCAGCGACGCCGCGUGAGUGAAGAAGUAUUUCGGUAUGUAAAGCUCUAUCAGCAGGGAAGAAAAUGACGGUACCUGACUAAGAAGCCCCGGCUAACUACGUGCCAGCCGCCGCCGUAACAC